rnacentral:misc_RNA from 1 species
CUAAUAACAAAGUCAAAUACCAAACAUAACCUAACUAAUUGAAGUGCCCAAAAUAAAUUAUUUCCUAAAUUAAUACGUUGAAAUUUCUUCCUAAAACAUGUAGACCUAAAAUCUCUUGUAGAAGGAGGUCCCACAUCACUUUAUCUGUAAUAUCAAAUGGAAUAUUACAGUAAGUACAUAAUACCUAAACUUUUUUACAUGAUCAUGAAAUUUCUGUACACGGGUUCAACUGCCACUAUGCAAUUAAGGUUGAGUUGCGACUACAUAAUGUUGCAGAUUUGAUAAGCUUCUGUCACAUAAGUAGAUAGAGGGCUUGAGUUGGAAAUGUAACUGAAGUAGUUAAGCAGUUAG